GACGAACGCUGGCGGCGUGCUUAACACAUGCAAGUCGAACGGAAAGGCCCUGCUUUUGUGGGGUGCUCGAGUGGCGAACGGGUGAGUAACACGUGAGUAACCUGCCCUUGACUUUGGGAUAACUUCAGGAAACUGGGGCUAAUACCGGAUAGGAGCUCCUGCUGCAUGGUGGGGGUUGGAAAGUUUCGGCGGUUGGGGAUGGACUCGCGGCUUAUCAGCUUGUUGGUGGGGUAGUGGCUUACCAAGGCUUUGACGGGUAGCCGGCCUGAGAGGGUGACCGGCCACAUUGGGACUGAGAUACGGCCAAGACUCCUACGGGAGGCAGCAGUGGGGAAUAUUGCACAAUGGGCGGAAGCCUGAUGCAGCAACGCCGCGUGCGGGAUGACGGCCUUCGGGUUGUAAACCGCUUUCGCCUGUGACGAAGCGUGAGUGACGGUAAUGGGUAAAGAAGCACCGGCUAACUACGU
rnacentral:rRNA from 1 species